rfam:Amphimedon queenslandica AMPQTscaffold_8242_Cont19813, whole genome shotgun sequence.
GGCGAGGCCGAAAGGCGUAGUCGAUGGGAAACAGGUUAAUAUUCCUGUACCUCUUAUUACUGCGAUGGGGAGACGGAGAAGGCUAGGCCAUCCGGGUGUCGGAUGUCCCGGUUCAAGCGUGAAGGGAGUCGCUCCAGGAAAAUCCGGUGCGGCAAUCCCAAGGCGUGAUGUCGAGGUCUUCCUUCGGGUUGACCGAAGUGGUUGAUGCCAUGCUUCCAAGAAAAUCCUCUAAGCUUCAGGUAAUAAGAGACCGUACUCGAAACCGACACAGGUGGGCAGGGUGAGAAUCCCAAGGCGCUUGAGAGAACCCUCGUGAAGGAACUAGGCAAAAUAGCACCGUAACUUCGGGAGAAGGUGUGCCUUUGUUGGUGAAGAGACUUGCUCUCGGAGCCGAUGGGGGCCGCAGUGACCAGGUGGCUGCGACUGUUUACUAAAAACACAGCACUCUGCAAACUCGAAAGAGGAAGUAUAGGGUGUGACGCCUGCCCGGUGCCGGAAGGUUAAUUGAUGGGGUCAGCCCUCGGGCGAAGCUCUUGAUCGAAGCCCCGGUAAACGGCGGCCGUAACUAUAACGGUCCUAAGGUAGCGAAAUUCCUUGUCGGGUAAGUUCCGACCUGCACGAAUGGCGUAACGAUGGCCACGCUGUCUCCACGAGGGACUCAGUGAAAUUGAACUCGCUGUGAAGAUGCAGCGUACCCGCGGCAAGACGGAAAGACCCCGUGAACCUUUACUACAACUUCACACUGACCUUUGAAUAUGCUUGUGUAGGAUAGGUGGGAGGCUUCGAAGCGAUGACGCCAGUUGUCGUGGAGCCAUCCUUGAAAUACCACCCUGGUAUCUUCGGAGGCCUAACCCAGGCCCGUUAUCCGGGUCGGGGACAGUGUGUGGUGGGUAGUUUGACUGGGGCGGUCUCCUCCCAAAGAGUAACGGAGGAGCGCGAAGGUGCCCUCAGUGCGGUCGGAAAUCGCACGGUGAGUGUAAAGGCAAAAGGGCGCUUGACUGCGAGACAUACAAGUCGAGCAGGUGCGAAAGCAGGCCUUAGUGAUCCGGUGGCUCUGUAUGGAAGGGCCAUCGCUCAACGGAUAAAAGGUACUCCGGGGAUAACAGGCUGAUACCGCCCAAGAGUUCAUAUCGACGGCGGUGUUUGGCACCUCGAUGUCGGCUCAUCACAUCCUGGGGCUGUAGCAGGUCCCAAGGGUAUGGCUGUUCGCCAUUUAAAGUGGUACGCGAGCUGGGUUUAGAACGUCGUGAGACAGUUCGGUCCCUAUCUGCCGUGGGCGUUGGAGACAUGAGGGGAGCUGCUCUUAGUACGAGAGGACCGGAGUGGACGUACCUCUGGUGUUCCGGUUGUCACGCCAGUGGCAUUGCCGGGUAGCCAAGUACGGAAGGGAUAACCGCUGAAAGCAUCUAAGCGGGAAGCCCCCCCCAAGAUGAUGUCUCCCUGGAUCCUUUGAGAUCCCUGAAGGACCCUUGAAGAUUACGAGGUUGAUAGGCCAAGUGUGGAAGCGCAGUAAUGCGUGAAGCUAAUUGGUACUAAUUGUCCGUGAGGCUUGACCAU